rnacentral:sRNA from 1 species
CAAUAAAAAAAGACCUGACACGAUUCCUGUAUCAGGUCUAGGGAAAUGGCUCUUGGGAGAGAGCCGUGCGCUAAAAGUUGGCAUUAAUGCAGGCUUGGAACGCCUUGCACUUUAAGAAUAGACGAGAAUGCUUUUUUUGCCAGUUU